rnacentral:rRNA from 1 species
AUGCUGUUUGAGUUCCUGCUCGAUGCAGUCGACAGGUUCCCGCUGCAUGAGGAGUUCACCGACAGUUUUGAGCACUCAGAUCCAGUACCUCUAGGCUUGUUGCGGAACAGCGAAGCCGACCAUGCCGUUCCUGCGGACUCCAAUCCUGGGUCUGGUUGCGGUCAAAUAAAUCGGCGGCGACGGCCAGAUGAGAUGGUUUUCGCCGGUGUCCGGAUGCAUCUCCGACUAGGUCGGCGCAAUCGACUGCCAGAGUCAACCGAGAAGCCCUUGGUUGGACAAAAAGUACAUGAUGAUUGUUAUCAAAAGUUCAGUGCCCAUGGCAUUGGGAGGUACCCAGGAGCCUGCAGCCUACGGUGGGCUGGUGGAGGGCUGAACCCUGAUGUGAACAAGAAGCUGAACGCCGACAUUGCUUCCAUCCUGGAGUCAAAGUUGUCCAUCCCCAAGUUCCCGCUUCUACCUCAAGUUCAGGAUUCAAAGCACUCGGACUUUGGAUGGAACUGA